UUAAGCGACUAAGCGUACACGGUGGAUGCCCUGGCAGUCAGAGGCGAUGAAGGACGUGCUAAUCUGCGAAAAGCGCCGGCGAGGUGAUAUGAACCUUUGACCCGGCGAUGUCCGAAUGGGGAAACCCAGUGCAAUCCGUUGCACUAUCGUUAACUGAAUACAUAGGUUAACGAGGCGAACCGGGGGAACUGAAACAUCUAAGUACCCCGAGGAAAAGAAAUCAACCGAGAUUCCCCCAGUAGCGGCGAGCGAACGGGGAGCAGCCCGGAGUCUGAAUCAGCUUGUGUGUUAGUGGAACGGUCUGGAAAGUCCGACGGUACAGGGUGAUAGUCCCGUACACGAAAGCACACAUGCUGUGAACUCGAAGAGUAGGGCGGGACACGUGGUAUCCUGUCUGAAUAUGGGGGGACCAUCCUCCAAGGCUAAAUACUCCUGACUGACCGAUAGUGAACCAGUACCGUGAGGGAAAGGCGAAAAGAACCCCGGCGAGGGGAGUGAAAAAGAACCUGAAACCGUGUACGUACAAGCAGUGGGAGCCUCUUUAUGGGGUGACUGCGUACCUUUUGUAUAAUGGGUCAGCGACUUAUAUUCUGUAGCAAGGUUAACCGUAUAGGGGAGCCGAAGGGAAACCGAGUCUUAACUGGGCGUUAAGUUGCAGGGUAUAGACCCGAAACCCGGUGAUCUAGCCAUGGGCAGGUUGAAGGUUGGGUAACACUAACUGGAGGACCGAACCGACUAAUGUUGAAAAAUUAGCGGAUGACCUGUGGCUGGGGGUGAAAGGCCAAUCAAACCGGGAGAUAGCUGGUUCUCCCCGAAAGCUAUUUAGGUAGCGCCUCGUGAACUCAUCUUCGGGGGUAGAGCACUGUUUCGGCUAGGGGGCCAUCCCGGCUUACCAACCCGAUGCAAACUACGAAUACCGAAGAAUGUUAUCACGGGAGACACACGGCGGGUGCUAACGUCCGUCGUGAAGAGGGAAACAACCCAGACCGCCAGCUAAGGUCCCAAAGUCAUGGUUAAGUGGGAAACGAUGUGGGAAGGCACAGACAGCCAGGAUGUUGGCUUAGAAGCAGCCAUCAUUUAAAGAAAGCGUAAUAGCUCACUGGUCGAGUCGGCCUGCGCGGAAGAUGUAACGGGGCUAAACCAUGCACCGAAGCUGCGGCAGCGACGCUUAUGCGUUGUUGGGUAGGGGAGCGUUCUGUAAGCCGUUGAAGGUGUGCUGUGAGGCAUGCUGGAGGUAUCAGAAGUGCGAAUGCUGACAUAAGUAACGAUAAAGCGGGUGAAAAGCCCGCUCGCCGGAAGACCAAGGGUUCCUGUCCAACGUUAAUCGGGGCAGGGUGAGUCGACCCCUAAGGCGAGGCCGAAAGGCGUAGUCGAUGGGAAACAGGUUAAUAUUCCUGUACUUGGUGUUACUGCGAAGGGGGGACGGAGAAGGCUAUGUCAGCCGGGCGACGGUUGUCCCGGUUUAAGCAUGUAGGCGGAGGUUCCAGGUAAAUCCGGUACCUUAUUAACGCUGAGGUGUGAUGACGAGGCACUACGGUGCUGAAGUGAUAAAUGCCCUGCUUCCAGGAAAAGCCUCUAAGCAUCAGGUAACACGAAAUCGUACCCCAAACCGACACAGGUGGUCAGGUAGAGAAUACCAAGGCGCUUGAGAGAACUCGGGUGAAGGAACUAGGCAAAAUGGUGCCGUAACUUCGGGAGAAGGCACGCUGAUAUGUAGGUGAAGUCCCUGCGGACGGAGCUGAAAUCAGUCGAAGAUACCAGCUGGCUGCAACUGUUUAUUAAAAACACAGCACUGUGCAAACACGAAAGUGGACGUAUACGGUGUGACGCCUGCCCGGUGCCGGAAGGUUAAUUGAUGGGGUUAGCGGCAACGCGAAGCUCUUGAUCGAAGCCCCGGUAAACGGCGGCCGUAACUAUAACGGUCCUAAGGUAGCGAAAUUCCUUGUCGGGUAAGUUCCGACCUGCACGAAUGGCGUAAUGAUGGCCAGGCUGUCUCCACCCGAGACUCAGUGAAAUUGAACUCGCUGUGAAGAUGCAGUGUACCCGCGGCAAGACGGAAAGACCCCGUGAACCUUUACUAUAGCUUGACACUGAACACUGGUCCUUGAUGUGUAGGAUAGGUGGGAGGCUUUGAAGCGUGGACGCCAGUCUGCGUGGAGCCAACCUUGAAAUACCACCCUUUAAUGGCUGGUGUUCUAACGUAGACCCGUAAUCCGGGUUGCGGACAGUGUCUGGUGGGUAGUUUGACUGGGGCGGUCUCCUCCCAAAGAGUAACGGAGGAGCACGAAGGUUGGCUAAUCCUGGUCGGACAUCAGGAGGUUAGUGCAAUGGCAUAAGCCAGCUUGACUGCGAGCGUGACGGCGCGAGCAGGUGCGAAAGCAGGUCAUAGUGAUCCGGUGGUUCUGAAUGGAAGGGCCAUCGCUCAACGGAUAAAAGGUACUCCGGGGAUAACAGGCUGAUACCGCCCAAGAGUUCAUAUCGACGGCGGUGUUUGGCACCUCGAUGUCGGCUCAUCACAUCCUGGGGCUGAAGUAGGUCCCAAGGGUAUGGCUGUUCGCCAUUUAAAGUGGUACGCGAGCUGGGUUUAGAACGUCGUGAGACAGUUCGGUCCCUAUCUGCCGUGGGCGCUGGAGAAUUGAGGGGGGCUGCUCCUAGUACGAGAGGACCGGAGUGGACGCAUCACUGGUGUUCGGGUUGUCAUGCCAAUGGCACUGCCCGGUAGCUAAAUGCGGAAGAGAUAAGUGCUGAAAGCAUCUAAGCACGAAACUUGCCCCGAGAUGAGUUCUCCCUGAGACCUUGAGUCUCCUGAAGGAACGUUGAAGACGACGACGUUGAUAGGUCGGGUGUGUAAGCGCAGCGAUGCGUUGAGCUAACCGAUACUAAUGAACCGUGAGGCUCAACCU
rnacentral:rRNA from 1 species